GCUAAGUUAGUAUCUUUCUGUUUUCACCCAGCUGGCCUCUUGAGAAUUCAGUUGCCUGUUGUGCCUUGUAGUAAAGUGGAGCUAACUGGUGGGAAGUGGUUACUUUUCUCACAUAACGUCUCUGCAAGUCUCGAGGAAGUUCUGGGAGACGGGAAGGAAUAGCUCCAAACAAGAAGGUGAUCAGGAGCACACUUUCUCCAUAACCUUUCUCUGCUGAAGACCAGGAUGGCCGGUUGCGGGUCAUGUUUCUGGGGCAUCAUCUGGCUGGUGGUUCUGCUCUUCAUUGGCUGGCCCCUCAGCAUCACAUUAGGGGGUCUCUACGGCCUUGUCACCCCCCUUACAACCUGCCUUGGCCUGGACCGACUCUCCGAUCUACUCCUGGAGGGGGCCAACCUGGGCCGAACCUGUGCCAAUAACAUGAGGCACGGCAAGCCAUUAUGUUGAGAUUCACCCUAAGUGGUCAGGACCAGACAGCAGGAACAGCGAUCGGAGGCAAGAUUGUUGCUUUUUUACAAAGAAAAGUCUUUGCUUUGAGGAGCUGGUAAUGUUUGGGAUGAUUGGCAAUCCAUACAGUGAGAAACCUUUUAACAAGUUAUGUAACCCAGGGUCCAGAAGGUUUGGAAAAUGGAUUCCACUUGUUCUGUUAACAUGUAAUUAACCACGGGUUUCCAAUUUGUAUGGGUUUGUCAGGAUGAAAAGAGGCUUUGUAUCCAUGGUCUGUGUUUGCUGUUUAAUUCAUGAUGACACUGCAUGGAGAAAAUAAGAAUGAAAAUGGCAAUUUAACAAUGAAAAUACUUAGACUUGUAAAUGACUGUAUGGAAAUUUUAAAUGCGAUUAAAACUGCUUUGAACUUG